CGGCUGGCAUGGGGUCCGCUGGCAUGGGGUCGGCUAAUUCCUCCCUCUUAAUUAAUAAGGAAACCAAAUCAUCAAGAGUCUGGUGAAUGUAGGUACCUUUUUUUGCACAUGAUAAGUUGAAUACAGAAGUGAAUUGUAUAUUUACCUGUGGAGAUUCUCACCUCAAUAACUGUGUUAGUUUCUGUCAGUCUAGUCAAUGGACGUGUAUUGUUUUUCUGUGUUAAUUGAAUGUACUGUAUUACAUUGGUACCCGGUCUGUUAAGACCACUGUGUCACGUCCUGAUCAUAGAAAGCUUUUAUUUUUUCUAUGGUAGAGUAGGUCAGGGCGUGACAGAGGGUUUUGUCUAGUUUAUUUAUGGCUAUGUUGGUUCUAGUUUCUUUUUUCUAUGUUGGGGGUUUUGUCUAGUUUAUGUAUUUCUAUGUGGGGUUCUAGUUUUUGUAUUUCUACGUUGUUUUAUUGGAAUGAUCUCCAAUUAGAGGCAGCUGGUCAUCGUUGUCUCUAAUUGGGGAUCAUAUUUAAGUUGUUGUUUUUCCCACUAGGUUUUGUGGGAGAUUAUUUUGAGUAAGUGUAUGUUGCACCUUUUCGUCACGGUUUGUUGUUUUGUUCAUUAGUUUAUUUGUAUGUCUUACAUAAUUUCACAGUUAUAAUAAAAUGUGGAACGAUACACACGCUGCGCUUUGGUCCCAUUCUUCAGACAGCCGCGACACACUGUAACUACCCUCCUUUUUCCUAUUCAUUUACUCUAGUAAUAAAAACCUGUCUCAGGUUAAGAGGUCAUCACGGAGUGUAAUUCCUGAGGUUGCCACUAGAGGGCACCCUUAUGUUUCUAGUGUCCAUUAAGAGGUCAUCACGGAGUGUAAUUCCUGAGGUUGCCACUAGAGGGCACCCUUAUGUUUCUAGUGUCCAUGAAGAGGUCAUCACGGAGUGUAAUCCCUGAGGUUGCCACUAGAGGGCACCCUUAUGUUUCUAGUGUCCAGGUGAGCCUGACUAGGAUUAUUGGUUUCACCUGGUUUAGGGCUAUUUUAGGUUCCUCUAUGGAACUGGGCCUGGUUGCUCAGGUCUCUUGUCUUUUGUUUUGUGUUGUACUCAUGUGUACUUGCUUUGUUGUUGUUGUCUGUGAAUACUUCAGUAAACAUUCUGUAUUUACC
rnacentral:lncRNA from 1 species